UACGUAGGGGGCGAGCGUUGUCCGGAAUUACUGGGCGUAAAGGGCUCGUAGGUGGCCAACUAAGUCAGACGUGAAAUCCCUCGGCUUAACCGGGGAACUGCGUCUGAUACUGGAUGGCUUGAGUUUGGGAGAGGGAUGCGGAAUUCCAGGUGUAGCGGUGAAAUGCGUAGAUAUCUGGAGGAACACCGGUGGCGAAGGCGGCAUCCUGGACCAACACUGACACUGAGGAGCGAAAGCCAGGGGAGCAAACGGG
rnacentral:rRNA from 1 species